UACGGAAGGCAGCAGUGGGGAAUAUUGCACAAUGGGCGCAAGCCUGAUGCAGCCAUGCCGCGUGUAUGAAGAAGGCCUUCGGGUUGUAAAGUACUUUCAGUCGUGAGGAAGGUGUUAAGGUUAAUAACCUUAGCAAUUGACGUUAGCGACAGAAGAAGCACCGGCUAACUCCGUGCCAGCAGCCGCGGUAAUACGGAGGGUGCGAGCGUUAAUCGGAAUUACUGGGCGUAAAGGGCACGCAGGCGGUUAAUUAAGUUGGAUGUGAAAUCCCCGGGCUUAACCUGGGAAUGGCAUUCAAGACUGGUUAGCUAGAGUCUUGUAGGAGGGGGUUAGAAUUCCAUGUGUAGCGGUGAAAUGCGUAGAGAUGUGGAGGAAUACCGGUGCGAAGGCGGCCCCUGGACAAGCUGACGCUCAUGUGCGAAAGCGUGGGGAGCAAACGAGGGAUUAGAUACC
rnacentral:rRNA from 1 species